AAAAUGACCCCCACUGGGUUGCAUUUGGGCCAGGAGCCUCAGCUGGAUAUGUGAAAUGUUAAGGGUUCUAUGUCUACGGAUCAUAAAAAUGGCAAAAGAGACCUGGAAAAUGCCUGCUCAUAUGCCCUGGGCCAACAUGGAUUUAAGGAAAACACAUCCAUUCUUCCAGCCAUCAGCGCAGUCUGGAAGCCAUAACAAGCCUGUAAGUUUUACUACUUUAUUUUGGAUCCAUCACGGAGAAGAAGCCUGCUGCCAAGCUGACUGGCACACAUGGAGCCCUUACGUGCCAGGGCAUGAAACUAGUCUGCUGAAUGAGGGCCCAGGCUGUAAAUGAGUAUUUGAGUUGAGAACAUCACCAGGAUCAGCAGAAAGGUAAUUGUUCAUUGGCUUAAUUCCUUUGCCUGUGAGAAGAAAAAAAAAAACCAAAGACUCUUGCUGGAUAGAAGCUAAUGGUCUAAAGUAAGGUUCGCUCUUUUGACUUUUACACAUUUCAGGUUUUACCUUUAGAACAUAUAUAAGGAAACACUACCAUUAUGCUAGAGCUAGAAUUAGAAUUAGCCUUCCGUAGGCUCACAGGAUCUUCCCCACAGCAUAGAAUGCAUGAUGAUGCCUGCCUAUUUGGUUGUGUUUUAUAGAUUUGACAAAUAAUUGAGAAAAACAAACUUUCAUCACAGAGUUAAAAUAUUUAAUGACAAAAUGAGAGCUUACUGUAAUCGUGAAUCAUAGAGCAGGUGUUAUUUGUCUCUGAAAGAAACAAAAAUUAUAUUUGACAUCCUAGAGAAACUUCUGAAGAAUUAAUAACUGCACAACAGACAGCCGCGGUGUUACGAUUCUAAAAACUGAAAAGCAAAACCUAUCUUUAUUAUCCCUUAUUUAGGGCAUUCUGUAAAUAUUUUUACAUAAAUUCACAACCUUUGUUAGCCACAAAAGUAUUAAGACAGAUUUCACUGUAAUUUUAAGUCUAACACAAUCUUUUAUUUUUUCAGAGCUUAAAAAAAGUUCACUACUGAUCCUUACAUUUUACAAAUACAUUCUUUAAUAUGAAACAUUAACCUGAACAACUGGAUGCAUCCUGCAUACAGAUAUCUAAUACUAGUGAAGAAAACUACAGCUAUGUUCCAGGAAGAAGCAGUAAUACUGGGGAGCUUUUCUUUAUGUGUUGUCAGUACAAUUGAAGAACUCCUUCACAGAAAGAAAGUGUCCCAAAAUGGAGUGCAGAAAUGAAACAAACGGUCUUCUAGCAGCUCAACCCAACAAAUUGGUCCCAAACAACGUGACAAAUUAGCAAUUUUCUCUAGGCUAGACUGUAUUAAUAUUUUGUAUUGCAGCACCUUCUACAAGAGGAUAGCGAAGCACUUCACAUGUGUCAUCACAGGGCAGCUCUGACAGAGGUCAGGAGGUAGAGGAAAGACAGGGGAUUGUGGUCCUGGCCUCUCCUAAGGUGGAGGCCUAGGUAGGGCUUUGACCCAGGGAGGUCAAGGGCAUGGCCACGGCCUGGAAGCAAAUCAAUAGGGGAAGCUAAUAAAGACCCAGAUAGGCAUUCUAAUCCA
rnacentral:lncRNA from 1 species